UGUAAAAAAAUGCUAACUCACCAGGGUUUUUUGGACUCGUCACUGCAUCACUGACAACAUCCAUUUAUUUCCUACAGACAAGCUAAUAAAGAUGCCUACUCAAAAAGUGUGCCAGACUUGCAAACACAAAAUAGGAGUAGCCAGCAGGAAAUGCAGGCAAUGUGGUGCCAACCAACCCUACAAGGAGGAAACUAUCCAAGCAAAAGGAAAAGGUUGCACAGGAGUGGAAGGCCACGCAACAAAAAAAACCACAGUGUCAACAAAGUUUAUGACUCAACAAAUCUACUGCUCCACAAAUGGAAACUUCUUGAGCGGCAUCCCAAGAGAGGCACAAAUGGUUUUGCGGCCGAUUGCCUCUGUCCAUGGCAAAUUGAGACAGAAGAUGGUAACAAUGCACUUGUUACCAUAAAGAGGAUUUACGAAAGCCUUCUUAAUGUGACUUUGGCAACCUGAGGGUCCUUCAACCACAGGCAGAAAUGGCCACAGACCCAGGAUCAGAUUCCUUGGCCGAGGUGUUGGUGCAGUGGCAGUCCUGCUCUGGAUGUGGGGCGAAGUGGAAACAUUCCUGGGAGCCAAAGGAAAACUUUCCUAAUUAAAUAUGCCUGACUUUUGUUUUUCUACAUUGGAGUAAUAAAAUACAUAUUAAAAAAAACAUCUAUGUAAGUGCCGUGCCUAUUUGUGUUCUUAUGUUAUCAGUGAGCUGAAGCCAAGACAAAUACAAAUAUGUUUUAAGUGUAUCCAUACAAACUCAUUCUCUAAAACUGUCAUGUUUGGUCUGUUGAAUGACACCCAUGAGGAAAAAGGUCCUAUACAUUAUAUCACAUCGGCAGGGCUGUGAUGUGAUGAGGCCCUCGCGAGCGUCGACUGGGGGUGGUGGUGGUGUGUAAACCCCGGACACACCAAGCCGAUUACAGCUAGUGGAGCCUCGCAGCAGAAACUGUGGCGCACUCAAUUGCGCCGCAUUUGCGCAUCAGAUGAGGCUCCCUCCACAAGAUGAGGGCGAGAGGCAGACGCAGUCUGUGUGAUCGGCGUGUAGGGAGGAGCGGGCCUGCACAUCGGCAUAUCACAGACUGGUGCAUACAUUGUACAGGCGGCAAUUUGAAUUGGAAUGCAGCCCACUCACGGCAGACAAACCCAAACACUUUUGGAACACGCCACCUCCAGACGCAUUAACAUGCACUCCCCUAACUUUCCCCUAAUCUGACAUUGUAUUUCAUUCCAUAACAUCUUAUCAACAGAGAAAAUGAAGGGUAAUCAAAUAAUAAAACAUGUCACUCAUAUCA